CCCUGGUUUAAUAAGGACUUGUUUAUUUUGAGGAAAAAAGGUCCCAAACAUCAGGCUGUUCACAAAAAUAACCCACAGUAUCAACUUUAGAAAACAAAUCUUAAGACUAUAACACUAAUUAUUUUUCUAGAGGAUGCAUUUGACAUGCCAACUCUCAUUCACAAAAAUACAUUGUUACAUUUGUGUUGAACUGCCCCACACAGCACACUAAUGUGGGGGUGUAACACACAUACUUCUAACUCAAAGCUGCUUUCAAGAGCUACUCAACUAAAUGAGAUUGCCUUUGCAGUUAGGGAAGCAACUACUGAACUUAUGUAUGAAUGAAAAGAACUGUACUCCCUGCAUAACAAGAGAUUAUUUUGGAGACAGUUGAUAAAAACCAUACAUCAUUUUUAUUGUUAAGUCAUAAAGAGGUAUCAAAAUUAAAAGCAAAAAUUACAGGGUAAGACUUAACAAAACUACUAGGAGCGUCAAAGGAAGUGAAAAUGGGACUAGGCGCGGGGCAAUAUGAAUUAAUUAAUGAACAUGGGAAGGACAAGGAUGGGGAAAACAGUGAGCAUGUGCUGAAGAUACUAGGGGAGAGGAUCUGGUGAAAAAUUUGAUCUUAGACAAGCGCCUAGGUAAAGAAAUAAUGGGAUAAGAUUUCUAAACCCCACUAUGUGCUUAAGAGUCAUCCUCGCCAUUGGCGCUGUCUCUGUCAUCCUCUCCUUCCUCAGCCUCUUUUUCAUCAUCCUUGAUCAACUCCAGCUGGUCAUCCCCCCAUCUUCAUUAUCAUCAUCAUCCAGUAGGUCCCCCUCCUCAGCAGAGUCAUCUGCACCCCCCUCAGACUCCAUCUUCACAUUAGUCUCAUCUUUCUUCACGGAGCUGCUGCUCUGCUCCUCUUCUGACUUAACAUUGUUCAUCUCUACUGCUUGUUUGCUCUGUUCCUUUUCAAUUUUUUCCAGGUUUUCCAGGAAAGAAUCCACUUUUUGUUUUAUCUGGGUCAGCUCCCUCUUAAUGGCCUGAAGGUCAUCUCCUUUCAACUUUCCAGACUUGGAAGAUCCCCGCUGUCCACUCUUAGAAUUGAAGCCACUUAUGCCCCUUUGUGAAGUGUUUCCUGAUACACGCUGACGUUUCGAGGGCACUACAGCCCGAGCAAUAGGAGGAGGAGGAGGUACACGUGCUGGGUAACUGUACAUCCUAUCAUAAUAGUCCCGUUGAAAGUCACAAUCCAAGUCAAAAGAGGAGCCGUACAUCUCCGCUGCAGAUCGUUUCACACCUGCUUUUCCUCGGUUCACUUUUGGCUCUGCAGCCAGGUUAAUAUCUAAAACCUGGCCAGCAAUCAUUCUGCCAUCCUCUCCUGCUACAGCAGCCCGGGCAUUUCUCUCAUUAACAUACUGAAAGAAGGCAAAGCCCUUAUGAACAGAGCAGCCCACAAUUUUGCCAUACUUCGAAAAGAUUGCCUCCACAUCAGAUUUCUUGACCACAAGAGUGUUGAGAUUCCCAAUGAAUACACGGGAGUUCAUGGAACGAGGAUCUGUCUUGUUGGUAACGUUGCUGGCCAUUGUGUUUGAUGGGUCUCACUUUGUUGCCCAGGCUGGUGUGCAGUGGCACGAUCUUGGCUCACUGCAACCUCCGUCUCCUGAGUUCCUGAUUCUUAUGCCUCAGCCCCUGGAGUAGCUGGGACUAUAGGCAUGUACCACCGUGACUGGUCAGUUGAACUUACGAAUGCAGAACCCAUGGUUAGAGAGGGCCAGCUGUACAGAUAAAAGCAAGCACAAAGGUGGCUGGCACGAUGGCCGAACAGGAACAGCUCUGGUCUGCAGCUCCCAGUGAGAUCAACACAGAAGGCAGGAAUCUAGCGCUUCAGGAUUAUGUGCACUCUUGCUAAUCCAAGUGUUAUCCCUGAACCAGCAGCAUCAGCAUCACCAGAGAACUUGCUGGAAAUGCAGAAUAUCAGACUCUACCCCAGACCUACUUAAUCAGAGAAGCCCAGAGAGAUUCAUAUGCACAUUAAAGUUGGAGAAGUCCCAUACUCAUAUACUAGCAUAAACAGAGUAUCCUCAAACUCAUAACAAAGAAACCUACAAAACAUGAAGUACUGUCCUUUCAAUUUAGGGGCAGAGGAUUGGACAUUUUAUUUUAUUUUUUUAUGGGGGAAUACAGCUAAAACUGAAUUGCUUCAAUAAAGUCUUUGACAAUUUAAAAGCUGAAUGUGUGUGUGUGGCUGGGAAUCUUGUUUUCAUCUGGGAUCAAGAAUUAUUACUAUGUAUAUGGGGAAGUGUUUCUUCUACAACAGCUAUUGACUAAGAAAACUAAGGAGAAAAGACCAAAAAAGAGUGCAAAUAACUUCAAAAUAGAUAACGAGUAUCAUACGUAUUUAGUAAUUUACAUGUAAAAAUGUAGAAUUUUUUUU
rnacentral:lncRNA from 1 species